rnacentral:rRNA from 1 species
GUCGAACGAACUCUGGUAUUGAUUGGUGCUUGCAUCAUGAUUUACAUUUGAGUGAGUGGCGAACUGGUGAGUAACACGUGGGAAACCUGCCCAGAAGCGGGGGAUAACACCUGGAAACAGAUGCUAAUACCGCAUAACAACUUGGACCGCAUGGUCCGAGCUUGAAAGAUGGCUUCGGCUAUCACUUUUGGAUGGUCCCGCGGCGUAUUAGCUAGAUGGUGGGGUAACGGCUCACCAUGGCAAUGAUACGUAGCCGACCUGAGAGGGUAAUCGGCCACAUUGGGACUGAGACACGGCCCAAACUCCUACGGGAGGCAGCAGUAGGGAAUCUUCCACAAUGGACGAAAGUCUGAUGGAGCAACGCCGCGUGAGUGAAGAAGGGUUUCGGCUCGUAAAACUCUGUUGUUAAAGAAGAACAUAUCUGAGAGUAACUGUUCAGGUAUUGACGGUAUUUAACCAGAAAGCCACGGCUAACUACGUGCCAGCAGCCGCGGUAAUACGUAGGUGGCAAGCGUUGUCCGGAUUUAUUGGGCGUAAAGCGAGCGCAGGCGGUUUUUUAAGUCUGAUGUGAAAGCCUUCGGCUCAACCGAAGAAGUGCAUCGGAAACUGGGAAACUUGAGUGCAGAAGAGGACAGUGGAACUCCAUGUGUAGCGGUGAAAUGCGUAGAUAUAUGGAAGAACACCAGUGGCGAAGGCGGCUGUCUGGUCUGUAACUGACGCUGAGGCUCGAAAGUAUGGGUAGCAAACAGGAUUAGAUACCCUGGUAGUCCAUACCGUAAACGAUGAAUGCUAAGUGUUGGAGGGUUUCCGCCCUUCAGUGCUGCAGCUAACGCAUUAAGCAUUCCGCCUGGGGAGUACGGCCGCAAGGCUGAAACUCAAAGGAAUUGACGGGGGCCCGCACAAGCGGUGGAGCAUGUGGUUUAAUUCGAAGCUACGCGAAGAACCUUACCAGGUCUUGACAUACUAUGCAAAUCUAAGAGAUUAGACGUUCCCUUCGGGGACAUGGAUACAGGUGGUGCAUGGUUGUCGUCAGCUCGUGUCGUGAGAUGUUGGGUUAAGUCCCGCAACGAGCGCAACCCUUAUUAUCAGUUGCCAGCAUUAAGUUGGGCACUCUGGUGAGACUGCCGGUGACAAACCGGAGGAAGGUGGGGAUGACGUCAAAUCAUCAUGCCCCUUAUGACCUGGGCUACACACGUGCUACAAUGGAUGGUACAACGAGUUGCGAACUCGCGAGAGUAAGCUAAUCUCUUAAAGCCAUUCUCAGUUCGGAUUGUAGGCUGCAACUCGCCUACAUGAAGUCGGAAUCGCUAGUAAUCGCGGAUCAGCAUGCCGCGGUGAAUACGUUCCCGGGCCUUGUACACACCGCCCGUCACACCAUGAGAGUUUGUAACACCCAAAGUCGGUGGGGUAACCUUUUAGGAACCAGCCGCNUAAU